GAUCCAAUGGUCAAGUCGGUUAAGACAUAACAUUUUCACUGUUUGGACGAGAGUUCGAAUCUCUCUUGGAUUA
rfam:TNVERIFIED: Penicillium marneffei strain ATCC 18224 mitochondrial sequence.